CAACCUGCCUCAUAGAGAGGAAUAGCCUUCCGAAAGGGAGAUUAAUACCUCAUAACAUUGCAGUUUCGCAUGGAACAGCAAAUUAAAGGAGUAAUCCGCUAUGAGAUGGGCCCGCGGCGCAUUAGCUAGUUGGUGAGGUACGGCUCACCAAGGCGACGAUGCGUAGCCGACCUGAGGAGGGUGAUCGGCCACAGUUGGGACUGAGACACCGGCCCAGACUCCGUACGGGAGGCAGCAGGUGGGGAAUUAUUGCAACAAGUGGGGGAAACCCUGAUGCAGACCAACGCCGCGUGAGUGAUGACGGCCUUCGGGUUGUAAAGCUCUGUCUUCAGGGACGAUAAUGACGGUACCUGAGGAGGAAGCCACGGCUAACUACGUGCCAGCAGCAGC
rnacentral:rRNA from 1 species